rnacentral:rRNA from 2 species
GGAUGCGAUCAUACCAGCACUAAAGCACCGGAUCCCAUCAGAACUUCGAAGUUAAGCGUGCUUGGGCGAGAGUAGUACUGGGAUGGGUGACCUCCUAGGAAGUCCUCGUGUUGCAUUCC